rnacentral:rRNA from 1 species
CCUACGGGAUGCAGCAGUAGGGAAUAUUGCACAAUGGGGGAAACCCUGAUGCAGCGACGCCGCGUGAGUGAGGAAGUAUUUCGGUAUGUAAAGCUCUAUCAGCAGGGAAGAAAAUGACGGUACCUGACUAAGAAGCCCCGGCUAACUACGUGCCAGCAGCCGCGGUAAUACGUAGGGGGCAAGCGUUAUCCGGAUUUACUGGGUGUAAAGGGAGCGUAGACGGCAGCACAAGUCUGAAGUGAAAUGCCGGGGCUUAACCCCGGAACUGCUUUGGAAACUGUGCAGCUAGAGUGCAGGAGAGGUAAGUGGAAUUCCUAGUGUAGCGGUGAAAUGCGUAGAUAUUAGGAGGAACACCAGUGGCGAAGGCGGCUUACUGGACUGUAACUGACGUUGAGGCUCGAAAGCGUGGGGAGCAAACAGGAUUAGAUACCCCAGUAGUC